UGAGCUCAGGCAAGGCUACCCGC
rnacentral:rRNA from 1 species